UACAGAGGUCCCAAGCGUUGUUCGGAUUCACUGGGCGUAAAGGGUGCGUAGGUGGUCGGGUAAGUCUGGUGUGAAAUCUCACGGCUCAACCGUGAAACUGCAUUGGAUACUAUUCGGCUGGAGGGUUGGAGGGGGGACUGGAAUACUUGGUGUAGCAGUGAAAUGCGUAGAUAUCAAGUGGAACACCAGUGGCGAAGGCGAGUCCCUGGACAACUCCUGACACUGAGGCACGAAAGCUAGGGGAGCAAACAGG
rnacentral:rRNA from 1 species